UCUAGCUACGGCCCUGAUCGCAUCCCCUAUUGGCCCUGGUCGACGCCAAGAGCAAAAUAUGUAGCUUUAAAUGUCAAAGGUCUCUUCUUAUUUUAAUCGCAUAUAGCUAUUCGAAAAUGUAAAAGUAAGGAAAAGCCUGAUUUUCAUUAAGUAAUCGGCAGUCGGCGAUGGCUAUUGUUGGUGAUCACUGGAAAACAAAGUGCUUUGUUAUUUCUUCAUCACCGCCCAUCAACAAUGUAUCGCCAAUUUUCGGAGUUUAAUGAGAAGCAUAAUUAUUCACUCGUUACUUUUUAGUAUGUUUGCUACUCAUGGUAUAUGUAUACAGCUUUUGAAAGUCCAUUGAAAGUCCAUGCCACACUGAGAGUCAUUGGUUAUAACUUCUCUCGAGUAAAAACGCAACUAAUGGCUGCAUGCAAUACUAUAAGCCUAAGAUCUUUCUCUUUGCGUUUACAGGCUAAUUAGGCUUUGCGACUUAGCGGAGGACACAAAUUUUUGUAUUGCAGCCAUGCAUAUAUAUGAAUGUAUAAUAAUGCAUAAGUCACAGGAGAUUAUCAGUCAUCGAUCAUUUGAAAUUCUUCGCCUAUAGAUUUGAGACGUGCAUGGUUAUGCCACCAUGUAUUGCCCGCGGGCUUUCCUAAACGUCGAAAAAAAUUACUAGUACAGUUGAAAAAUGAUAUUUUUUAAAAGUGAACCUUUUGAUAUAUUCGUGUAUGAUAUAUGUAGAUAUCAUCGCUGAAUCCUCAGUAAACAAAAAGUACAGUUCGGAAUUACAAACAAAUUACUAUUUACCUAUCUCAGUUUUCAGGCUUAACAAAUAUUCAUUGAUCAGCAUCCUGUUUAUCUUAACGAAGAGAAUACCUACGUGUGUGCAAUGCUUUUUAACCAAGCUUGCAUGUCUAAACUGAAAAGGGUUAUACCUGCUCAUAUAUGUGCACCAGGCCCAAGAAAAACGGACAAAGCUAUCAGCAAAUAAUGCAAUUUUCUAUCUCUGUUGAACUAUACAUAGUUUGCCUCAUGCAAUCAUCAUUUCAAAGACCGAGACGAGCUCUGGGAUAUUUCUUAUUCUAUGCAGUAUUUGGUGCAUUUUUGAACGAGAAAUAAUGAUUAAAAGGAAUUUGCCGCUAUUAUAGAAACAAAUUAGUUUUUGUAUCAGACAGAUUGGUUCAACAUUUUAUACAUUUUUAUUGGUUUUGAUUUAUCUACAAUAUAUUUCUUACAAAUAAUUCAUCAUGCAAAUAAACACAGCCGCAUUAUACUGACAUGAUAGCAUGGAUAAAUACUUUUUAAAGCAGACAUGCACUGUCUCCCCUCAUUUGACUGUGGUGCCGAGAUCUGGAAGAAAACAUCUCAUUUAAGUCAGUAUUCAUUACUAUCUCAAAGCAUCCGUAUCUUCACAGAACGCUGCAUGGAAACAUUUCUAUAAGGGCUUGCAAUCAAGAUAGAAAAUGGCAUUAAUGUAUUUGGUGGUACUGUCCGCUUUUCUUGGACUUGGUGCAUGUGGAGCAAAAGGCUGUUCUCAAAACGCACCACCCCGCAACGGUGCUCUUGCUUGUCUGAAUUUCAACGGUUCACCAGGACUUUGUAUAGCCUUUUGUCGAGAGGGUUUCGAUUUUGGCUAUCGUCCAGCUAAUCUUUAUUACUGUUCCGGAGGAAAUUGGAACGCGUGGCCGCCAUUUCCUCGGCUGGACCCACACUGGCCGGACUGUGCAGCAAUGGAAGGCUUUAACACAAUGAAGGAAAACUCAUACUAUUAUGCUGGGAAAGUCAGUGCUCCUAAAGUGCAAGAUCAUCUAAAAGAAUCUUUCAUUGCCAUAGCAUCUGACGUUUAUUCCGUCCCACGAACGUUCUGCAGUGCGAACCGUUUUUGCAGGUUGGAAAACGUUCAAAUAUAUAGUGGAAAAAGCUUUGGUUCUUAAACCAACAACGCUUGUUCAAGUUUGACAAAAGUUUGUCUAUAGCUAAGUCUUGAAAUAAAAAAUAUCUAAAAUA